UAGUGGCAGACGGGUGAGUAAUGCGUAGGAAUCUACCUAGUAGUAUGGAAUAGCCAUUAGAAAUGAUGGGUAAUACUGUAUAAUCCCUGCGGGGGAAAGAUUUAUCGCUAUUAGAUGAGCCUACGUUAGAUUAGCUAGUUGGUAAGGUAAUGGCUUACCAAGGCUAUGAUCUAUAGCUGGUCUGAGAGGACGAUCAGCCACACUGGAACUGAGAUACGGUCCAGACUCCUACGGGAGGCAGCAGUGGGGAAUAUUGGACAAUGGGCGAAAGCCUGAUCCAGCUAUGCCGCGUGAGUGAAGAAGGCCUUCGGGUUGUAA
rnacentral:rRNA from 1 species